GCCCUUGUCUCUGCUCUGGGUCAGGCGAGGCAGCCACCCAUGAUGAGCUCUGCAGCCUUCCCAAGGUGGCUGCCCCGCAUCCAGGUGCCCCGUGUGCCCGGCCUGGGCGGCUGGCCGUGGAUCUGACCGCUCCUGCAUGGUGGAGGACCAGCGUUCCCACUGUCUGCAGCUGUGCCACCUCCCUGUGCCGGGCUGUGCGUGCUCACGCUCGGCUCCGUCUGCCUUUGUGCGAUCAGACUGAGAGACCCCCCAGGCAGGUCCCGCCUGCAACAAGCAGACCCCAUGCGUGCCCCAAAUGCCCCCUCACCCGGGCCCUGCCCUGGUGGGUGUUGCCUGGGAGCAAACUCCCAGAAUGGCCGCCGGGCCCCACUCGGCUUUGGAGCUUCUGAUUCCUGUGGGCGCUUCUCAGAGCAUGGGGGUCCCUCGUACCCCUUCACGGACAGUGCUCUUC
rnacentral:lncRNA from 1 species